GUUAAUGCAUGAAGUCAGUAAGUCCCACAAGUCGGGGAGUGGCUGGUCGUAGAUUACGACAUGUUGUAGAGUGUAACAGUUGUAAAGGCGUUCCUGGUGAUUUACCGGUGGUGUUCACCGGUGGGGUGGUGAUCGAGUUGACCGGUGGAUCGGUGUUGAAAGCAAAUGCUGAUAUUGACAGAAACUGAACUCCCACAAUGCACUGGUACACCAUUCAGUGAGGCCUCAUGGACAAGGUAACGACAGUCAGUCCUCCUGAAGAGGAAGAUCUAACACAUCCUACCACAGAAAUGUGAACAAUUGACCUGCCCUUGCAUGUGUUUGAGAUGGCUGCCACCGGUGGGGAACCUUUUCGCAAACACCUGGUAUCAUCAAUGUUUGAUGGCGGUUCAUAAACAUGUGCUUAUGAUAUAGUCAGAAUCGAACAAUCAACUCUCAGUUUUGUCGCCCUAAUAAUCAAUUACCGUAUUCGACGUAAUAAGCGCCCCCCGGCGAUAUUUGCUAAUAUAUUGGCUAGUGAACAAGCCCAAU